GAGUGUUGGGUUAAGUCCCGCAACGAGCGCAACCCCUAUUGCUAGUUACCAUCAUUAAGUUGGGGACUCUAGCGAGACUGCCAGUGAUAAACUGGAGGAAGGUGGGGAUGACGUCAAAUCAUCAUGCCCCUUAUGACCUGGGCUACAAACGUGAUACAAUGGCUGGAACAAAGGGAUGCGAAGCAGUGAUGUGGAGCGAAACCCAUAAAAACAGUCUCAGUUCGGAUUGAAGUCUGCAACUCGACUUCAUGAAGUCGGAAUCGCUAGUAAUCGCGGAUCAGAACGCCGCGGUGAAUACGUUCUCGGGGUUU
rnacentral:rRNA from 1 species